AUGAUCGCCCCCUCCUCUGCGCAAUCAUUGCUUAAGGGUGGCAGCGAGAGCCAUCUAGGUAGGGCGAUCUCCUUAGAGUUUCGGUGGGGGCGCUCCAAAAUGAUGUGCUCCAGAAUGAGGUUUAGGAAUGCUCUUGGUUCUCGGCUCUUCCGCUGGUGUUCACGUGAUAAACACACGUCCGUGCGGAAGCUGCUGGAGGUGGAUGGGAUAUCAGAGAGAUCAAAGCUCCUCAACAAAGUGCCUGUUUUGAUGGGCUAUAGUAACACACAAUAUUUAAUGGAGCAAGAAAGAGUCCGCAAAGAAUCUGCCACGGAGUUGAUCAGUGUCUUGAAAGAAAUUGAUUUUGCAGAAAUUUUGGCUAAAUUCCCAUGCAUAAAAUUCGGUGAUUCAUCACCAAUUGAACUAUAUGAUGAUUCUGCUGGUAUGGAGUGCAAAGAAACCAUGUUUUCUGGAAACCUCACGAAUUUCAUCCUAGUAUCUGGUGGAAAUUUGGAGACAAAUCGUGAAUUUGCUGACAAGUGCCACCCAUCAGGUCCAUCUCCAGCAAAUGUAAAUGAUCUUUCAAUCAGUGAAGAGAGUUCUCUCAUCACUCGGCAUAUUUCUGGUGAACCAGCAGUUGAUGGGGAAGUUUGCCCCGAGUCAUUAGCUGAUGCUACAACUGCUGAUGGUAAUGUCUUGGACAAAAGUAAAAGGUGUUUGCCUGGAGAACCGGCAGUUGUUACAGAAGCUUGUCCAGAGUCAUUAGCUGAUGCUACAAGUCCUGAUAAUAAUAUCUUGGACAAAGAUAUAAGGUCCUUGCCUGGAACAACUAGUAAGCAAUAUCGUAAGCUAGAGGACGGUGGUUUCCAUACGAUCCGCAAAUUGCUGCAGCAUUUCCCCAGGACCUAUGCAGAUCUACAAAAUCCUCAAGGUCUAAUAGAAGAUGGGCAGUACAUCAUGUUCUUUGGAACUGUUAUAUCUUCCAAGGGAGUCAGGAUUAGAAGUACUUUAGGUUUCGUUGAGGUUGUUGUUGGUUGUUCAAUAGUUGAGGCCAAGUUAAGCUCUUCAGAUGUGAGUUGUAACUCUGGAGCAGAGCAAAAACAGAGGAUUCAUUUGCACCUCAAGAAGUUUUUCAGUGGCCAACGUUUCUCUUCUCAAUAUUUUCUUAACUGUAUAUCAUCAAAACACAAAGAGGGGGAUAUUGUGUAUGUCAGUGGUAAGGUCAAGAAGGUACUUUCUAGUGGGCAUUAUGAUUUGAAGGAGUACACUAUUGACAAGCUCGAAGAAGAGGAGCAACAAAGCGCCCUGCUUGAUAGGAAACCAUAUCCUAUAUAUCCAUCAAAAGCGGGACUGGAAGCACGUUUGCUGGGACAGUCCAUCUCUAGGGCCUUGAAGAUGCUGACUCCAGACAUUGAUCCUAUCCCUCCUGAGGUUCUCACUGAGUUCAACUUGGCAAAUCUGUUUGAUGCUUACAUGGGGAUUCACAAACCUAAGAAUCGAGAUGAAGCUGAUUUUGCUCGCCGAAGGCUUAUAUUCGAUGAUUUCUUUUAUCUCCAGCUGGGAAGACUAUUUCAAAUGCUUGAAGCAGUUGGUACACGGGUUGAAAAGGAAGAAUUGCUAUAUAAGUGUGAAAAUCAUGAGUUAAAUGCUGUUGGUGUCGAUCAGUGGUCUCCUCUGGCCAAUAAAUUGUUGAAGUCUCUCCCUUAUUCACUUACUGCUAGUCAACUAAAUGCUGUUAAAGAGAUUAUAUGGGAUCUCAGAAGACCAGUUCCUAUGAACAGGCUCUUGCAAGGGGAUGUUGGUUGUGGUAAAACUAUUGUUGCUUUCCUAGCAUGUAUGGAGGUUGUUAACUCAGGAUUUCAGGCUGCUUUCAUGGUUCCAACUGAGAUACUUGCUGUUCAGCAUUAUGAACACCUGACUUCAUUGCUGGAGAAGUUAGAUGGAGAUGAAUGCAAACCAAAUAUUGCCUUGCUAACUGGUUCAACUUCCACCAGAGAGUCGAGGAUAAUUCGGAAUGGUCUCAAGACUGGAGAAAUAUCAAUGGUCAUUGGAACACACACCUUAAUAGCUGAUAAAACUGACUUUUCAGCUUUACGUAUCUCUGUUAUAGAUGAGCAGCAACGUUUUGGUGUUAUCCAACGAGGAAGGUUCAAUAAUAAGCUGUAUACUUCGUCUUCAAAGCUGAGUGAUGAAAAUACAAGCGAAGAUGCGGCUUCUGAUUCUGAAACAUUUAUGGCUCCCCAUGUUCUUGCUAUGUCAGCUACCCCAAUUCCAAGAACACUGGCUCUUGCUUUAUAUGGGGAUAUGUCUCUUACUCAGAUUACAGAUUUGCCUCCAGGAAGGCAACCCAUAGAAACUCUUGCUCUUGAAGGAAAUGACGCUGGGUUUGAAACUGUUUUCCAGAUGAUGAGGGAUGAGCUUAUGGAUGGGGGCAAAGUGUAUCUCGUUUAUCCUAUCAUAGAAGAAUCAGAGCACCUACCACAACUUCAUGCUGCCAAAGCCGAUUUUGAUUCGAUAAAACAGAAGUUUGAAGGCUAUCCAUGUGGGUUGUUGCAUGGUCGCAUGAAGGGCCCAGAGAAGGAUGAAGCUCUGGGCAGUUUCAGAUCCGGGGAAACGCGUAUUCUCCUGGCAACGCAAGUUAUUGAGAUCGGAGUGGAUGUUCCUGAUGCUUCUAUGAUGAUUGUCAUGAAUGCCGAGAGAUUCGGAAUGUCUCAGCUGCACCAGUUAAGAGGGCGGGUCGGUCGCGGGGGAAAGAAAUCCAGAUGUGUGUUCCUGUCCUCCACUUCCAGCACAUUGCCAAGGUUGAAGGUGCUUGAAAAUUCAUCCGACGGGUUCCACCUAGCUAACGCCGACCUGGUGAUGCGUGGCCCUGGCGAUCUACUUGGCAAGAAACAGUCGGGGCAUCUUCCCGAGUUUCCAAUAGCCAGACUGGAGAUUGAUGGGAGUAUUCUGCAAGAAGCCCAUCUUGCUGCGCUAAAAGUUUUGGGAACAAGCAACGACCUGUCGAUGUUUCCACGUUUGAAAGUGGAGCUCAGCAUGAGGCAGCCGUUGUGCCUUCUGGGAGAUUGA
rnacentral:rRNA from 1 species